AGAGUUUGAUCAUGGCUCAGGACGAACGCUGGCGGCGUGCUUAACACAUGCAAGUCGAACGGAAAGGCCCUUCGGGGUACUCGAGUGGCGAACGGGUGAGUAACACGUGGGUGAUCUGCCCUGCACUUUGGGAUAAGCCUGGGAAACUGGGUCUAAUACCGAAUAUGACCACGCUCUUCAUGGGGUGUGGUGGAAAGCUUUUGCGGUGUGGGAUGGGCCCGCGGCCUAUCAGCUUGUUGGUGGGGUAAUGGCCUACCAAGGCGACGACGGGUAGCCGGCCUGAGAGGGUGACCGGCCACACUGGGACUGAGAUACGGCCCAGACUCCUACGGGAGGCAGCAGUGGGGAAUAUUGCACAAUGGGCGCAAGCCUGAUGCAGCGACGCCGCGUGAGGGAUGACGGCCUUCGGGUUGUAAACCUCUUUCAAUAGGGACGAAGCGCAAGUGACGGUACCUAUAGAAGAAGCACCGGCCAACUACGUGCCAGCAGCCGCGGUAAUACGUAGGGUGCGAGCGUUGUCCGGAAUUACUGGGCGUAAAGAGCUCGUAGGUGGUUUGUCGCGUUGUUCGUGAAAACUCACAGCUUAACUGUGGGCGUGCGGGCGAUACGGGCAGACUAGAGUACUGCAGGGGAGACUGGAAUUCCUGGUGUAGCGGUGGAAUGCGCAGAUAUCAGGAGGAACACCGGUGGCGAAGGCGGGUCUCUGGGCAGUAACUGACGCUGAGGAGCGAAAGCGUGGGGAGCGAACAGGAUUAGAUACCCCGGUAGUCCAA
rnacentral:rRNA from 1 species